UACGUAGGGGGCUAGCGUUGUCCGGAAUCAUUGGGCGUAAAGCGCGUGUAGGCGGUCCGGUAAGUCCGCUGUGAAAGUCGGGGGCUCAACCCUCGGAUGCCGGUGGAUACUGUCGGGCUUGAGUACGGAAGAGGCGAGUGGAAUUCCUGGUGUAGCGGUGAAAUGCGCAGAUAUCAGGAGGAACACCAAUGGCGAAGGCAGCUCGCUGGGACGUUACUGACGCUGAGGAGCGAAAGCGUGGGGAGCGAACAGG
rnacentral:rRNA from 1 species